GAUGAACGCUGGCGGCGUGCCUAAUACAUGCAAGUCGAGCGAACAGAUGAGGAGCUUGCUCCUCUGACGUUAGCGGCGGACGGGUGAGUAACACGUGGAUAACCUACCUAUAAGACUGGGAUAACUUCGGGAAACCGGAGCUAAUACCGGAUAAUAUAUUGAACCGCAUGGUUCAAUAGUGAAAGACGGUUUUGCUGUCACUUAUAGAUGGAUCCGCGCCGCAUUAGCUAGUUGGUAAGGUAACGGCUUACCAAGGCAACGAUGCGUAGCCGACCUGAGAGGGUGAUCGGCCGCACUGGAACUGAGACACGGUCCAGACUCCUACGGGAGGCAGCAGUAGGGAAUCUUCCGCAAUGGGCGAAAGCCUGACGGAGCAACGCCGCGUGAGUGAUGAAGGUCUUCGGAUCGUAAAACUCUGUUAUUAGGGAAGAACAAAUGUGUAAGUAACUAUGCACGUCUUGACGGCACCUAAUCAGAAAGCCACGGCUAACUACGUG
rnacentral:rRNA from 1 species